rnacentral:siRNA from 1 species
UAACAAGUCCUUGGUUCAUUGC